UCAGCUAGAGAGAGAAACACUAACAUCACAAAGCACUUAGGGUGUUUAUGCAUGAGAUGGCCAUUAAGGUGUUACUGUCGUGUUCAAUUAUUGUUACUCGGUAGCUAGUUGGGAUGGUGUUCUUCUGCAGGAAGGUAAUGGCCUGUGAGAGGGCUAUGCAUUGCACUGCAUUGUUCUUGGAUCAGUUUUGCUAUUAUCAUUUUGGGGUUAAGUUCAGAAGAACAUAUAUUGGGGCAUUGACUAGGGAAUUAGAUGGUUUAGAAAUCAAUGGAGCUAAAACUAGCCUGCUUGUAAAUUUUGAAUUGCUAGGGUGGAUGGCACUGCAUGAUGGCGGUCAAUGCGCAAAUGAGUUAUUUUUUUAACAAAAUUCUCAACUUUAUUUCUGUUUCCUUUAGUGUUUUACUAGCAAAAAUGCCCGUGUGUUACAACGGGGUAAUAAUAAUAAUAUGAAAACCCCCUCCUCUGUCACACUGUUGACGCCAUUUAUUCCCCCUGACACCCCCAUCAUAGUGGUUGUUAUCCUGCUUCCCCCAUCAAUGACGUUGGUCUCCCAUCUCAUCAACAAGUCUAAAUGUGGUCAAUCUCAACACACAAAUGCCCGCGCGUUGCAACGGAAAAAACUUUGACGUGGAUUGAAAUAUAAUAAGAAUUGUGAAAUGUUGCUCAUUUUACAAAUCGACUUGGUGCGCCACUUCUUCUAUCCAACUCUAACAAAUUUUCUGUGAAUAUAGAUAGAAGAAGGGAACGUAAUCCUAAAAACAUAUAGCUCACUUCAUAUUUCUCCUAUUCCUCCUUCCUUGAGUAGCGGGUAUUCCUUACAUUUGUAGUGAUAUAGUAUAAAAAUAAUGUUAUUGCUGUCAUGUCCACCAGAGUUUCAGUAAAAGAACAAAAAAGAAAAUUAGCUAGAAUGAUGGAAAGAAAAACUUGUGGAACUCACAAUUUUUUGUUAAUUCCCUCACUUCAGAUCUGUUCAAUUAAGUUUUCAAAAAAUAGAGUUGUUCAAUUAAGACACUUGAUUUUCUGUUUAAAACCAGAUUAGUAACACAAAGUCUCAAGCUUGAAAUUAAAAUAAAAUAACACAUCGCAAUGAUUAAUUUUCCACAAUCCCGUUUAAGUAGGAGUCAUUUUUGUUUUGUGACCGUUAAAUCUAGUUGUCCACAUUCCUGCUUUCAAAUUCGGCCAUGAAUCUCCCACAAUUCCGGCAAGCAGCGUGCAAUCAGGCCAUGAAGUCAAAUUGUCCCACACAAUCCCGCUUUAAUCACAGUCCUGAAAUUCAUCCUUCCUUUAACUUAAUGCCAAAGAUAUCCCCCGAUUCCUUCCUUUAAUAAUUCCUCUUUCUUAUAAUCUUGUCCGCACUGUCACGUCACGGACAACUUUCUUAGAUUUCCUUUAAGUUUUAAUGCCCAAGACAGCCAGGCCUCUUAUAACCUUGUCCGCUCUCACGUUAACAUUUCUUAGGCAACUUGCUGGUCAUACAGGAGAAUUUCUACAUAUAUAAAGAGCUACAAAUUGAUCUAAACAAACGAUGUGGGGCUAAUCUAACAUAAAAUAUGGAUGCACCUGAGUUCGGUCACCCCCAGCCACGCGGCUUGCGGCCCAGCAAAGGCCUAACACUCUAUUUGGGAAGGCCCAGCGGUACAAUUUUUCAAGCCCAGCAAAGCACUGAAGGUCAGCGGUACGACUAUUUCAUUAACGCGAACGGCGCGCUUCAAACAGCAUCAUAUGCUUCAAUUGGUCGCACUCUUGGGCAGAAGUGGAGGUCUUGGGUUCUAUUUUGGAGGACUAGGUUUAUUUGCCCGUUUUGUUUUUCCAAUUCCAAUUCGAAGGCCAACAAGUAAAAUUCCACACAGAGGUAGUUAAAUCUGGAGCGCAUUGAAGAAAAAAAACGCCAACAAGUAAAAUUCCACACGGAGGUAGUUAAAUCUGGAGCGCAUUGAAGAAAAAAAACUGAAAGCGUAAAAUCACGGGAAGAAGCGUAUUGUGACGGUGAACCCACGGAGUCAAUGUUGUGAGAAAAGUAUUAUCUUUUCCCUAAUAAUAAUAAUAAAGCACGGAUUGACUUUGUCGGGUUCACCGUCACAAUACGCUUCUUCCCAUGAUUUUACGCUUUCAGUUUGAAUUUAAAACAUAUUCGAGGUGGUACUAAAUUUUCGCUCUAUCUAUUUCGCCGCGUCUGAUUCGCUAAACUGGGCCUCGGCUGGGCCUGCAUCCAUGCUCAAUUGUGUCCAUCGUAGUUCACCGUCGUUUUCCAUAUCUGGUUGUAUGUGCGUGUGCUUGAAUUAAAGGAAAUUAGAGAAAAAAUAUGGUUGACGCCGCUGGAAUUUGAUCCAUGGUCUGCCAUGUAUAGAUUGCAGCGCAGCAGACCACUAAGGCUAGGCUCCUAAGCUUGCUAAUUUGGGCGUCUGGAACCUUAAGAAUAAAGGACAGGCGUACUCGGGCCGAGAUCAACAGGCACGGUCGUGAUGGGCAUGUACGAGUGCCGCGGCCCACUGGACGGACAAGGGACCAGGCUGGAAGUUGUUUUUCAUAUUUGUUUACUUGUCAAAUAGUCCCACCUUGCUAUUUUACAUUAAUUUUUACCAGUUUAUAUACAAUUUUUAGGUUGUCAGGCAUCAAGAAGCUGCUUUGGAAAUUAAGCAAAGAAAUAAAGAAAGGAAAUAGACAUUCUUUGCAUGAGAAAUAAAGAAGGAAGAUGGUAAUUAUGUGGAGCCGGCAAGAAAGGUAAUAUGUAUUGAAUAAGAAAUAAAGAAAGGUAAUCGCAUGAGUAAUUAGCAGGCCUAGCAAAAAAGGAAAAAAUAAUUGCAUGAGAAAUAAAGAAGGAAGGAGAAAGAGAGAGGAAGGAAAUGGACGGUAAUUAUGUGGGCAUCAUGAUAUAAGGAAAGAAAGAGAAGGAAAAACUAAUUAACAGGAGGUGCGGGAAUCAAUGGCAGGUUGCCAUGCCAUCUUAUGAGUAAAAAUGAUGUGGCAUUUUUUAAUCCUCACUAAAUUCAUGUCAUUUUUUUCUUCCAUUAUGUUUUCCUUGCUCUUAUAAUCUUUACUAAAUUUGCGCCAAAUUUGUAGCACAUUGAACAUUAUGUUUGCACAUACAAUCCUCACUAAAUUUAUGUCAAAUGUUUCAACCGUUCUAACCCACAGGCAUAUAUAGUAUUUUUAAUAUAUAAAUGGAGGUAUAAUAUUAUUGGUCCUCCCAUUUCGUAUGUCCAUGGUGUUUCCUUAUAUUGAGCUAGGCUAUUCUACUAAUCGUCUGUCUUGGGCCACUUGGCCUCUGCCACGUUCGCCCGCGUAAUGUUCCACCAGUAAAAAGAACCGGUGCCCUCCCAACAUGUCCGUGCGACCUGGCCCAACAAAUCAAACCCACCACCCCUUUUAGGAGAUGAGGCAAAAAAUAGUUGACCGUUACUGGAAUAAAACUCACAACCUCCAGUGUGUUUUGGCGUUGAUCGUGUUACCCUACAAAAAAGUGUUGAUCAUUUUAAAAUAAAAUUAAAUUUAGUUUUUGUUUGUGUCCUUCACGGCUUGGUACUAAACUAAUAUGAUGUAAAACCAGAUAACAUAAACACAAGGCACAAGUAUUUCAUUGUGUAGAUGUGGGUCAUGUGGCCGGGAUCUCAAACGCGAGCGUUCGCUGGUCUGUCCAUGCAGGUGAUGCAAUUCUUUAUUGGUUCCAAGCUUACGUGGAAUGUUCACCGUGUAGUGGACAUCGUUACCGACAAUGAUGACAAAGAAAAGAAGUGGUAACAGGGAUGGGGGCGCUAGGGGUGAUAAUUUAUUUCUCCCGUUGCAACGGACGGGCACUUUUGCUAGUUUGGCCAAAAGAAUUUGAGUAGCGAACAGAACAUGUCAUGGACACAAUCUAUGGGGCUGGGCUGGGUUGGAUUGGGCCGAGUUGUUUGAUACUGAAGUCCAGUAAGCCCGUAAAUGCAAAUAACUCUCUGAACUGGCUGCCACCAAAGCUCCAUUUGAGGCAAACAAGAAAAUACAUAUAUCCAGUUCAAAAAAGGAACAUACAAAUAUCAAUCCAUUCUUAUUCUCUUAUUAAUCAAAUAUAAGCCUCCAACUAUAAAACAUGGGUCUCGCAGAUGAUGAUUGCAAGAGAACAAAGUAGCAGGAAAAACAAGAUCGAAGCAUGUUGAAUUGUUAGUUAAACCUGCUCAAUUCAUUCGUGGAGCAGAGGAGACGAGACAUGGAUGCAAAAGCUUUCCCUUGACCAAGGGCACGCAUACAGCUUUUGCUUUCUUUUGCCCUGGGUUUGGUGAGCUGCUAUGUUGUGGUCAGCGGCCUAGUGUAUUUGAGCAGUUGAAGCUACACAUACCACUCACUCUCCUCGGCUCACCUGACAAGAUAAUGUGGCAGUUCAUUUUAAUCUCUUUUUUUUCCGCCUCUUGUUAGAUUCUGCCACCAGCUGCAAAAAAAUGGUGAAUCCAUUUUUCCUGUACUAUUUUAUUAAUUUUAAGCAAGGGUGAAUCUGCAGCUAAGACUAAAUAUUGACAGCCGGAGUCUAAAAAAUGGCUAAGGUAGCCAUCAACGGACUGCAAAUGUUACCUUGCAUCAGCAUCAGGCCAUCCCUAUGAGGAACGAAGGGCAAACAUGCCAAAGAUGCCGCACUGUAGAUGUUUACCAGAAUGGAUUCAGUUUAACUGCACCACUGUGAACACUCAAUGGAGUGGAAACUUAGGUGCCCGACGAAAUUAAUUGACAUCACACCAAACCUUCCGGAUUGUUACCGCCGCAGUUUUGUCGUCGAAGUCGAAUAUGACGGCCAGGCCUAUUUCAUUUGAUACCGUAGCCUGACAAGCCAUGCGUUUCUUCCAAUUCCAAGUGGACACACCUGGAAAUUUGCCAGUUUUGGUAAAUAAGGCUNNNNNNNNNNNNNNNNNNNNNNNNNNNNNNNNNNNNNNNNNNNNNNNNNNNNNNNNNNNNNNNNNNNNNNNNNNNNNNNNNNNNNNNNNNNNNNNNNNNNNNNNNNNNNNNNNNNNNNNNNNNNNNNNNNNNNNNNNNNNNNNNNNNNNNNNNNNNNNNNNNNNNNNNNNNNNNNNNNAAAACUUCACCACCUCGAUCUACCCGGGUGGUCAGAUGUUAUAUAUGAUACACCUUCAAAGACACUGGGUUUACACAGCUCAGGUUAAAUAUUUCCAUAAGAAACGUAGGAAAAUUUGCAUCACAAACUUCCAGUUUAUGCUAUUGAUUACUAUGAAACAUGAACUUUUCUAAGAUAAAUAGAAAAAAAAUACCAAACUGCUCUGCUCUUUUACAUUCAGGUGCGAUGAAUUCAGUAUGCAGGAUAAACUGCAAAAGAUAUGUACAAAGACCCUUGAGGAUUUACAAGCAACUGAAUAAAUAUGCGCAUCACACUGGUGAUUUUUCAUGGCUAACAUAAUCAUGCAUCUGCGAUUACUUCAAAAUCUACAACAGCUAUUCUCUGAAAUAACAUAGAAGCAGAUUUAUAUACACCAUGCAACCACAAAAGGUUAUUAUAAAUCACAACUAAUUCCAUAUUGUCCCUGAAAUCAAGUGGCGACAAAGUACAUGCUCUAAUCUUUUUUUGAGGGAAGUACAGGCUCUAAUCACUCCAUUGGCCAUACUACCUUACCAGCUCCACCUGCUUCCCCAGAGACCCUGCCACGCGCCAUCCUGAACAUUAUAAAUACCCAUCCAUACCAAAGCCAAAAUCAUUCACAUUCUCCCAUCUCCUCAUCUCACUUGAGAAAGCACUGUUCAGCCAUGGAAGUAAGCGUUGGACGCCAGCCAAAGGGUCAGCUAUGGCUGGUCUUAGCCGUGCUGGUUGCCUUUGCAAUGCUCGGUGAGGCAGCCAGAAGCUUGCCACCACCUUCUCUUUCAGCAUCGCCAACGUAUGCUCCUAUCAUUAAGGUGAUAGGCAAAGCAUACUGCUAUAGAUGCUUCAACGAGGCACACCCAGAAGAAUCCCAUGGGAAGGAGCACCUGGAAGGUAACAUUUCGGUUAUUUGCAGUUCUCGUUAUCUACGCACGUUAAUGCAGUCAGCUUGGAAAUACGUCAAGUUUCUUCUUGUUCAUAGUUAUCUUGCUUGAACACUGCCUGUUGACAAGAAAAGUGUAUUCAAGCAUACCAUAUUGAAGAUCCAAGAACAUGGCUAGAGGAAAAUUUUAUGCUUGGUUAUCAUUAUUAUCUGCUGUAGUUACAAAAAGAAAACCUGCCAAAGUCUGCACAAGAAGGAUCUGCACAUUUCCUUUGGUACAAGCCAUUUUUAGUGUUUUAGAAGCCUAUACGUUCUUGCUUAAAUAAAAAACACCAAGUUAAAGUUUGCUACCAGGUAGGCCAAAGUACAUUAGACUAAGGAUAUACAUAUAUGGAUAUGCGACUAAUACCAAGAUGAACUGUGAACCCAAAGUGUAGCUAAAUUCAUCGAAGCGAAAAAGUACUUAAAAAUGAAUGAUGUUUUACAAAUUGUUCAUUCUUCCUGAAUAUCUUUCAGUAUUUCAUACUGCAACUUAAUACUUUUUUAUCAUUAUCUGGUGCAGGAGCCAUGGUCAAGGUCACUUGCCAGGCCAAUGACCAGGCAAUAGUGAGAUUUGGCUACACCGAAAGCAAUGGCAAAUACAGUGUGGCCAUUACCGGGUUGCCACUUAGCGGCACCUUUGGGGCUGACUCGUGCAAGGUUGAGCUCCAUGCAGCAGCAGGAGGAUCUGACUGCAAUGUGCCCAUGGAGUUAAAUCUCUCUGGAGUUAGCGUUUACUCAAAGUCCAAUGAAGAAGUGGUUCUCCAAGCCAACCAAGUAAUGGCAUUUGGAUCAAAGAAGACAUUUGCUGGAUGUUCAAAACCUCACAUUCUACCAUCAAUGUAUCCAUAUAAUUCACCGCCACUCCCAUCCCAGCAUUCCUCACCUCCGUCCAACUACAAAUCCCCACCAGUACCAUACCAGCAUUCACCACCUCCUUCUAACAAGUUUCCACCUCCAUCAUAUCAGUAUCCAUCACCUCCACAGAACUUCUACUCUUCGCCGCCACCGUACCAACAGUCCACACCUUCAAACAACUACCAAGCUCCACCAACAUCUAACAAUCAAACACCAACCCAGAAGUAUUUACCACCCCCAUACUACUACAACUCCCCACCUCCGAACAGCCACGUAGCUCCACCACUGCCAUACCUGCAGUCCCCACCUCCGUACAACUACAAGUCGCCUCUUCUACCAUUGUCACCAACGCCUCCUCAACAUUAUAACUCUCCACCUCCAUUUAACUAUGGAUCUUCACCCCCACCUUACCAAUAUUCUCCACCGCUACCUCCAAAACAUCUACAACCAAAUGUUCCUCAUGCUAAUCCGCUACCAGCAUCAAUAUCUCCACAGCCUCUUUACCCCUAUGGCUCUCCACCACCAGCAUCAAUAUCUCCACAGCCUCUUUACCCCUACAGCUCUCCACCACCAUAUCUGAACUCUUACCAAUCCCCACCACCACCGAUUCAGCUUCCUCAUGUAAAAUCGCCACCAGUUUCUUCAACGUCUCCACAGCCUCUGCACCACUACAGCUCUCCACCACCAUCGCUUCUGAACUCGUACCAAUCCCCACCACCACCGAUUCAGCUUCCUCAUGUAAAAUCGCCACCAGUUUCUUCAACGCCUCCACAGCCUCUGCACCACUACAGCUCACCACCACCAUCGCUUCUGAACUCCUACCAAUCCCCCCCACCACCGAGUCACCUGUCAUAAGCAUCAGGAAGGGUUUCUUGAAAUGUAAGUUUCCUAGUGGGAUGUGUGGUAACAGUAUAGUACCAUUCAAACUUUUACAAAAUGCCGUAAUGUGAAGUCUUAAACAUUCACAAGAGCUCAUAUAAACUCAACAUAAAAGAUAACAUUGGUUAGAUGACUGCCAAGUAAUUAGAUUCCCAAAGUAUAUGACUCAAUCCAUCUCUUUUCAGGAUCAGACGUGGGCAGAAUAAACAGAAGAGGUGAAGCCUAUCUCGAGAGGAAGAAGCGCCGCAGCUGGAGUUUUCAACUGAGGAUCUCAGUCUCUAGUAUUAUUUACCCAAGCAUCUAGUGUUGUUUCAGCUUGCACUCCGUUGCCUAGAGCUAUUUCAGCAAUGUAACCAUAAGUUGUAUGAGCUUUUCUUAGUAGUACAUCAGUGUUCUAUUUUCAAUCCAAUAUACGGCGGAGGUUUCCUUUACAUCCCUAAAAUAUUUUCUACUGCGCAUUUCUGUCUCGAGAAACUGGAACAAAAUAGAGAGAUGGUGUGGCUUGACUAGCCACUCCACUUAUUCCAGAUUUGUCCCACCGUUUAUGCUGCGGCAUCUAUCCAAGAUAGAACAAAUCCAGGGGGUACUUCUCCACCGUGAAAUUCUAUGGGUCAAAUUCAAUUCAGUAAUCAAAAGUUAGAAAACUGGGCUUGGAAUGCAGUGCGCUCAUGAGUCACUACCGGUCAGCAUCAUCUCAGGGGAAGCAUAAUAUCACCAGUAAAUCAGCGCAGCGCGGUCCUAGGUAAAAUAAUAAAAUCACAGAAUCCAUCACCCAACCACGCGCCGCCGCAAGGCACAUUUCUUCAGUGGGUCGCGGCGGGUUUUCAGAGAAAUUUCGGCUGCUGAACGGGUGUAAACAAUAACAGCAGCGCUCGACUGCUCAACGAAAGUAGUUUAUCUUCCUGCCGGAUCUCGCGGUAUGUAUCUACCAUGUAUUGUUCGUGUACAGUCGAUGAAGGGAGGAGACCUACGCAGAUAGUGCCAAGAGGAACGAGUAACCCGGGGACUGACCUGCUGCCUCCAGUAACCCACCGCAGAUUGAUGACGGCGACCACGGAAGCGGGUCUCUGAGCGAGAAUUUAUCGCCGGAGUUGGCGGACGGCCGGUGGUCCGCUCCGGCCAGGGUCUGCGGGUAGCAGAGCCUGGCGUGGCGGCGUCGGGGACGGAGAGAAGGCCCGGGCCAGUUUGGGUGGGCUUAGGCCGUAGAUGGUCCGCACGUGUUAUGGGCUGGGCCGUCGGGGCCACCUCGUGAGCGGCGGGCAGUGACGAGUGACGACGACGCCGUGCACGGCGCCGGCGGUUGGCUUUCCAUUUCGGUGCCGGUGCAGGCCGCACGGCACGAUUCACGGUUUUGCGUCGACGGCGACAGCGAGCAGUAGAAACUGAAAAAGGUUCGUCGCCGUGUGGUGCAAAACAUACGUGUCCUGCCUGCCUGCCUGCCUGCCUAUUUUCAGUUUCUGUUUAAACACAGUACGUCGUCAUGGCUCGACUACACCCCGCAUCAGAUGGGCAUAGAAGUGGCGAAAUCGGUGAGUGCUCGAACUCGAAGCUUGUUGUUGGUAACAGCAAGUGCUGGAGUAUCGUACAAGACCUUUGCUCUCUCGCAUCACAUGGGCCAUGCCACACGGCAGUAUAUGUAGAUGUCAUUUUCCCAAACAAAAAGCGAGCAUCCAAACAUACGCAAUAAAUACUAGCAAAACGGAAAGUUUUUUUCGAUACAAAAAUAGAGGGCAUGCAUGCAGAUGUAAUGAGUGCAUCGUCAUCGUGGGUGGAAAAUGUCUCCUUCCUCGCCUGAUAAUCCAGCCGAUCGUGCGGUUUUGGUGCGUGCCGGCCGCCGAUGACGAGCGUGAGGCUGGCGCUGCAGAUUCCUUCCGCCUGGAGGCCCAAGCUUUGAUGCCAACGGAAUGGUACAACUUGGAAGACAUAUUCCCCUCUCCUGCUCUGCUGCGAUUGGAGGCCUCAGGCUAAGUACGACACAUGGCACACGUCCAUCCCAUCCCAUCCCAACUGACAUGCAUGCGCAUAGUGCAAUAGAAGACGCUCCCCUAUCUCGGGUAUCUUCUCACUCGAAUGCCAUCCAUACAUCCUUCAUCCGCUGCACACGAGGCUUAUCGCCCAACGCCAAGAUGGUGCAUGAUGAAUGAGACCCUGCCGAUUUUCGCUUUCCUUAAAAAAAAAACUAUACAGUUCUUCUACUGCCAAGUGGUGUUAAUAGGAAUUUGACAAGAAAAUCGAAGGAAAUGGAUGCAGUAGCAGUAGUAGUUCUGCGGAGAGUUUUAUUUUUAUUUCUGCGGGAAGUUGUACGUAGAGUUGUGUGCCAAAACCGCCAACACGUCUGAUCUUUAGAAUAAUUAAAGCGUGAACCAAAGUGUCCUUGCCAACAUCAUUCACUCACUCAUUUUAGCAGCAGUGGGGCCAGCACGGUACACUUUAAAUGCAGAAAUUACCCUCGAGAUCCACUCCUCACCAACCCCAACCGAACCAAAAACAUCUCAUCUCACUGCCGCUGCGCGUUGUAUUCAGAAACAAAAACACUCAGAAAACAAGAGAAACAUACACGAGAAUCUGCAGUUUCAAAGAGAGAAGAAUCUGCAGCUGCAGAAAUAAAAAAUCGGUUUGGAACUUGGGUCAGCACAGCGGCAACCAAAAAAAAUCUUAUACUAACAAAGUGAAAUUACCAAAAGCGCCCUCCCGUAGUGCCGCUGCCCCACGCCUGAAAGCGCACGGCGAGAGGGGGGAAAGGGGCAGAGGAAACAGAGGAGAGAAAAUAGGCUCCUCGCGGCUCGCCAAGGCCGUGUUCUGCAGCCAGCCACCGUCACUCUUCGCCGCCGUGAUCCGCCCGGGUUCCGCCGUGCCGGGGCUGCUUGAGAGAGCGAGGGAGUCGCUCUGGCCUCGCCGCCUCCUCCGGCAAAUAUUUUCCUCUGAUCCUGCCCUCUCCGUGGCUUGGGUCUCAGGGACCAAACCAUCCCGCCGCGGCUUGCUGGCGAGCUGAAGGUGCGUGCUGAUCUUCUCUCUUAUUUUCCUCCAAUUAAGAUUGGCCGCGACCAGCGCGUGUCUGCGUGAUCUCGGGACAAGGCGGCGGUGUCAAAGAGCUGGUCUCAGGAGGAGGAGAACAGAAGUAAUCUUGUUUCGUUCUGCCGUUGGAGGAACAGCGGAGAGGGGGCGGCUGUCUCUUCAUCGGUGCAACUGUUUCCUGAAGACGUGAGCCUCCACCUCAGCUCCUGGUUCAGGCUGGAGGAUUUGGUCGAGUCACUUCUGUGUUGGAGCGUGCGAUUUUGUGCUGCGUGCGGCAGCGGCUUCAGUUUUGCCAGUGUUCUUGAUCCGCUAGGCCCCACCAGAAAGCGAGGCGUUCAGGAACUAGGGUUAUGGAUUGAAGGGACCCAAAAAAAAA
rnacentral:lncRNA from 1 species